rfam:Methylosinus sp. R-45379 contig_18, whole genome shotgun sequence.
AAAAGAACGCGUGGUUCUUUGAGCCGGCCGGCUUGCCGCCACGUAAAACAAGGCGCUAAAAGGCCGGGUUUCCUCGUGA